UGGGGAAUAUUGCGCAAUGGGGGGAACCCUGACGCAGCCAUGCCGCGUGAAUGAAGAAGGCCUUAGGGUUGUAAAGUCCUUUCGGUAUUGAGGAAGGUUGAUGUGUUAAUAGCACAUCAAAUUGACGUUAAAUACAGAAGAAGCACCGGCUAACUCCGUGCCAGCAGCCGCGGUAAUACGGAGGGUGCGAGCGUUAAUCGGAAUAACUGGGCGUAAAGGGCACGCAGGCGGUUAUUUAAGUGAGGUGUGAAAGCCCCGGGCUUAACCUGGGAAUUGCAUUUCAGACUGGGUAACUAGAGUACUUUAGGGAGGGGUAGAAUUCCACGUGUAGCGGUGAAAUGCGUAGAGAUGUGGAGGAAUACCGAAGGCGAAGCNAGCCCCUUGGGAAUGUACUGACGCUCAUGUGCGAAAGCGUGGGGAGCAAACAGGAUUAGAUACCCUGGUAGUCCACGCUGUAAACGCUGUCGGUUUGGGGGGUGGGGUUUAACUCUGGCGCCCGUAGCUAACGUGAUAAAUCGACCGCCUGGGGAGUACGGCCGCAAGGUUA
rnacentral:rRNA from 1 species